UCAUGUGACUAGCCCUGAAAGAAGAAGAAGGCGGUUGGAGAGAACGAGAAUCCUGGAGUGGGCCCUGGAAAAGGCCAGCCUCCAGACAGUGAGCCUGCAGAUAAAAUGGGAAUAAAAAUCCAACCUGUGGCGAACCAGAUUGAGGGAAGGACUCAGAGAGGAAGCCCUGAGGAACUUGGAUACUCUGGUGAAACUUUGAUGUAUUUUAGCCAGAGGGCUAAGUCACCACAGCACUGGACCAGGUUGGGGGUAGCUGCUAACCAUUGACGACCUUGAGGGAAACUGAGGCAGGGAAGGGAUGUCCAGAAAAAAUCAGUUUUAGGAGAAACAAGAUGGAAUUUUUCAGUUUGCCAGCUGCCUGCUUAGAAGACUCAUAAUUUCACGUUCUCCCUCAUGGGAGAAAGAAAAAUUGACAAGACCUUCCCCCUGGAGAGGAGUUCUGGGCCAGGCAAAGAGCUGGGACAUUCAGACUCACUACUUCCCAGCAUAAGCCUAACUGUGCUCCCCAGCUGAAAGACUAUUGUAAAUUUCACUUUCACCUGCAGGGAAAAAGCAAAAUGGACUUCUCUCAGCAGCCAGAAAGUGAAACUGACAAAAGCCUUCUAGAUGAGCAGCCAUCACUUCAUUUUUUCUCAUGGAAAAUCAGUUUUUUCAGCAAAAUUUAAAUUUUCCCAUGUAAAAUUUUGAUUUUGAGAAAAAGGCACUUUCCCUUCAGAAAAUCUUUCUGAUUAACAAUUCUUGUCCAGCUCUAACUGUGAGCCCCUCACACUUGUACUUUGCUAAUUUCCCAUAGAAUGUUGUGUUUCUUGCCCCAGUCCUUUUUUUGCAAGGUUUUGAAUGCCCUGAGCCUUGGAUACCUAAAAGACCAUCUCCAACUCCAGGACCUCAACCUUUACUGACAACUCCUCUCUUUUGGAACAAUGGAACUGCUUCCUGCAAAGGUGAAGUUAAUCUUUUCAUGAGACAGGAUUCUUGGAACUCGCAUUCUGCAGUCCAGGACAGUUUGCUUUUGUUUGUGAAGGACAAGUCAAAGAAUAGUGCUAUUUUGGCUGGACAGUGGAGAGAUCUGAGAUAGCUAUAUCAGUGGGAGUGAAUUCCCCAGUCCAGGACACAAGCAAACACCACACCAACUUUAAAUAACAACCCAAAAAAUCCUCUGUGUCCCCUCCCUUCCAUCUCCCUACUACACACACACCAAAUUUCUCUAUUCCUCUGACCAAGGAGAAUAAACUAUAUGUGACAGCUGCUAGUUACUUUGUUUUGUUUAGUCUUUGGAAGGAGAUCAGACACCACAUUUCAGGCAUGGAUACAACCUGAACUGAA